rnacentral:tRNA from 1 species
AUACAUUUAGUUUAUUUAAAAUAGAAUAAGAGCUUGUCGUGCUUUAGGUGGUUUGAGUAUAGACCAAUGUAUU